UAAUACGGAGGGUGCAAGCGUUGUCCGGAUUUAUUGGGUUUAAAGGGUGCGUAGGCGGCUAAUUAAGUCAGCGGUGAAAUUCCACAGCUUAACUGUGAGAACUGCCAUUGAUACUGGUUGGCUUGAGUACAGAUGAGGUAGGCGGAAUUGACAGUGUAGCGGUGAAAUGCUUAGAUAUUGUCAAGAACACCUAUUGCGAAGGCAGCUUACUAAACUGUAACUGACGCUGAGGCACGAAAGCGUGGGGAUCAAACAGGAUUAGAUACCCUGGUAGUCCACGCUGUAAACGAUGAUUACUCGAUGUGUGCGAUAGACAGUACGCGUCCAAGCGAAAGCGUUAAGUAAUCCACCUGGGGAGUACGCCCGCAAGAGUG
rnacentral:rRNA from 1 species